UACGUAGGGGGCAAGCGUUGUCCGGAAUCAUUGGGCGUAAAGAGCGUUUAGGCGGUCCGGUAAGUCGGCUGUGAAAGUCCAGGGCUCAACCCUGGGAUGCCGGUCGAUACUGCCGGACUAGAGUUCGGAAGAGGCGAGUGGAAUUCCCGGUGCAGCGGUGAAAUGCGCAGAUAUCGGGAGGAACACCUAUGGCGAAGGCAGCUCGCUGGGACGUUACUGACGCUGAGACGCGAAAGCGUGGGGAGCAAACAGG
rnacentral:rRNA from 1 species